AAAACAAGAAAGAGAGAAAAAAUGAGGCAACUUUGAUGAGGCGCGCUCCCGACAGCUUCAUCCCAAACGCGCGUCCCCUGUGGUGGGAAAGUGAGCCGAAAGACAGCAGAACUGCAGAGUGGCACGGCGCGCCUGUCCGCGAGGGUCUCCGAGGGUCUCCGCGUGGUCAUGAGCGCAGAGCAGGGGGCCUAACGAUCCGGCGCAUCGCUGCGGGAGCUGCCCGUCGUUCCACCGGGAAGAUGCCGCUGAGGCGAUGUCGACUCAUGGCGAC
rnacentral:lncRNA from 1 species